rnacentral:rRNA from 1 species
AUUGAACGCUGGCGGCAUGCCUUACACAUGCAAGUCGAACGGCAGCGGGGACUUCGGUCCGCCGGCGAGUGGCGAACGGGUGAGUAAAGUAUCGGAACGUACCUUUCAGUGGGGGAUAACGUAGCGAAAGUUACGCUAAUACCGCAUAUUCUGUGAGCAGGAAAGCAGGGGAUCGCAAGACCUUGCGCUGAUUGAGCGGCCGAUAUCAGAUUAGCUAGUUGGUGAGGUAAAGGCUCACCAAGGCGACGAUCUGUAGCGGGUCUGAGAGGAUGAUCCGCCACACUGGAACUGAGACACGGUCCAGACUCCUACGGGAGGCAGCAGUGGGGAAUUUUGGACAAUGGGGGCAACCCUGAUCCAGCCAUGCCGCGUGAGUGAAGAAGGCC